rnacentral:rRNA from 1 species
UACAGAGGUCUCAAGCGUUGUUCGGAUUCAUUGGGCGUAAAGGGUGCGUAGGCGGUGAGGUAAGUCUGGUGUGAAAUCCCGGGGCUCAACCCCGGAACUGCACUGGAUACUGCCUUACUUGAGCACUGGAGAGGGAACUGGAAUUUACGGUGUAGCAGUGAAAUGCGUAGAUAUCGUAAGGAAGACCAGCGGCGAAGGCGAGUUCCUGGACAGUUGCUGACGCUGAGGAGCGAAAGCCAGGGGAGCAAACGGG